CUUGAGAAAUUCAAAAGGAAAACGACUAACGUCAUAGUGUAUUACUUCAUGAGAAGUACUACUUCUUUUGAUUGGAUCAAGAGCGCUAAUAGUUCAAUGUGAAGGUGCAGGCGAUGCUUUUCGAACUGAGAUGAUGUAAGAAUCACUCAAUCAAGGAUCUUUAAAGAAAAAGGAUAUCUUGUACACUCCAAAGCAGUAAAAGGAACGAAGACUCCAACAAAAUCAACACCUUACCCUCGUAUAUAAGCCAACAAAAAAAGGACGAUCACUGCAGUAGUUAAUUGUAAUAACAUGUUGUGUGAGUUGAACUAUUAAAUUUAUCCUUUUCAGCACAGGCUGCAUUUGAUAGUUGUACGAAAAGUAACAUGUAUUGUACUAUAAGCUUGGCAUGAUUCUUGGCAAUCUGCUUAACACGUGUAUUGCUCUCAAUUUGCAGCCCUUGACUUUUCCUCUUUUUUUAGUUAGACGUAUUUUUUUUGAGACAUUUGCUUCCUCUUUACUUCUAUUUUCAGUUCUUCUUCCUCUGUUCUUCACUCAAUGAUUCUUUUAUUUCUCUUUGUUUCUUUCCUUCAUCACUUUUAAGUUUCAAUUUUGUAUCUCACUUUUGGUUUUCUUUUCAAAAAAAUUAGUAUGUGAUUUUUGGAUUUUUAAUCGUGGUUUAAGCUUUGCUCUGGAUUAUGACUAAAAGCUAUCGAUGGUAUUAAGAAGAUCAAUACAAUGAAUAGAGAAAGACUGAAAAAAGUUUCCAAAGUUGGUUGAUAAGACGGUUCUAAUUUUGGAGAUUUUACUGGACAAAAAUUGGGCUAGCACUAGCGGUAUCGACGGCUGAUGGAAGCAGAGGUGAGCAAGAUAAAGAGUAGAUCAUUCAAUGUCAUCGAUGAAUUUCUGAAAUUCCACCACGAAUCAAUGAAGAAUUUGUAUUGUAAGACAUAAUCUUUCCACUCCAUUCCUGCCGAACCAACACAUUGGGUAAACGCAAGGUGUCUGUUUCUAAUAGGAAACGGAAAUGAAUAUGCUUAGUGAAGUUGAGGAAGUGCUUACCAUGGCAAAGAAGAAGAAUUCACACAUGUGCGACCCAAUAGUGGCAUUUAGAUUGUUUUGAUGGAUAUGGCACCUCAUCUCAAUCCUCAUCUUAUUGCUACAAUCAGAAAGUUAUUUGGCAAAUAAAAGUUGAAGAAACUAGACAUGAGUCAAAAUGAUGUUCAUUGUUGCAUCAGGGUACAAAAGCAUUUGUAGUGAUGGUGUUCCGAUUGAAGUGCAAUGGUAAGGUGAGAACUAUGCAUCACUACUAGGUAAGCAUUUCACACAUUAUAUCAUUGAUGACACAUUAUUAAUGUGUGAUACAAAUGUUAGUCAGUGAAAAUAUCUAAGUAUGGUUCUGCUCAUAUUUGAAGUAGUAUGCAGGUUAGAAAAACUGGGCAAAAAACUUGGCAUUCCCUAUUAUUAAUAAAAUAGAUAAUGUAGACAACAUGAACUUGCAAGAAUUUUAUUAUGAAAUAUGUAGUCUUCAAACUACUUAUGUGGGCUUCUCUAGGAACAUAACACAAGGCUACUAAGAUAUGGAACGAGGUGAUGAAUAGACGUGAAAAGGAAAAAUUAGUGUAUGACUCAUGUUAGAUGACAUUAUCAAGGUUAUAAACUGUUGUAAAACACUUUUAAGGUUAUGCAUUUAUAGUUCUCACAAAUAUAUAGUAAGUAAAAAUGAUCUUUUCCUAUGAGAGUAUGCCUUUAGUUUAGGGGUUGUGCCAGGACUAAGUCUCUCCAAUAUUAUUUUGGACAUCUCACACUUAUAGAGGAUACACUGAUGAUAACAGCAUGUGGUACUAUAAGGUGCAUGUUUUAACUCAUAGCUGCUUUCUCUAAACCUGAAUUUCAUAUUUAAAUUUUGUCUAGUCAUGAUUCAAUGUGAUGUCUCUGUUGUUAAACCUGAAUUUCAUAUUUAAAUUUUGUCAAGUCAUGAUUCUAUGUGAUGUCUCUGUUGUUUAACAUCUUGAUUUUGUUGUCUAAUUUUAUGUCAGCUCAGACUAAAAAAUAAUAAUUUAAACUAUAGGUAAAAAAUAAUGUUAAUUAAUGGCAAUAAUAUAAAAAUAGCACAGAAGUUGAAUGAAAUGAGAAAGAAAAAAUAUCAAAAAAAUGAAGAGAAUCAAGCGAUAUAUCUAAUAUAGUGGGACAAUGUCAUAUUGGACAUGAAAAUAGGAGGGUUUAGGAAUAAAUGGAAUAAGGGUAACAAAUUGUAGUUUACUCAUGAAAUGGUUAUGGACAUAUAUUGUGAAAGAAGAGGCACUUUGGAGAAGGAUAAUUAAAAAAAUGUGGGGGUAAAAGAGGUGAAUGGUGCAUAAAUAAGUUCACGGGGUCAUACGAAAAUGGAGUAUGGAGAACAUAAAAGAAGAAUGUGGAUCUUUUUAAACUAAUGUAUGCUUUGUUUCAAGUGAUGGAAGAAA